rnacentral:lncRNA from 1 species
GACAUUUGGGGACCCCAAGGCCCUGAGAAAGGCAGAAAAAUAACCCACGCAGGGACUCUCAGCCCACAAGUGAAGCUGAGAACCGGGAAUGGAAAACAGGGAGGCAGCACAGAGGCAGGAAACUCAGGUGUCACAGCUUGGCUCAGCCUCAGGGCUUUUGCCUCUGCUGUUCCUGCAGCUUGGAAUGCACUCCCUCCACCUCCACCCAGAGCUCCCCACAACUGACCCUGCCUUCUCCUGCAAGCUCCAUUUCAUCAAGGGAAAGGAUCCUUAUUGCCUCACCAUUUCCCACGUGAAGUCUGUAUUGACAUUCUCACAGACCUGGGAUAUUGUGUCUGCAGCACAUACUCCAAUUAUUUUCAUGUUAUCUACUGACAGGUCUAUUUGUCUCCCUGUUACACUGUGAGCUCCGUGAGGGCAGAAACAAUGUUAGUAUUUUCACUGCUGUGUCCCCAGUGCCUGGUCCGGGGCCCGGCACACAGCAGGCAUAUAAUAAGCAUGUGUUGAAUCAAUAAAGGCAUCAAAGAAU